rnacentral:misc_RNA from 1 species
UUUCUCGCAGUACAGUAGAGGUUGGUUUAUCUUUUGGAAGCAUCUUUUACCAUUCGCUUCAAGGGAUGUGGCAAUUGCUUAGAAAUUUAUUAUGUCUUAUAAUAAGCUUAGGGCAAGAUAAUUGCCUAAAAAAACCAAUUCGUGGUUUUUGCACCAUUGAGAUUAAAGCUACAUAUCUCUUCAAUAUAUGUUCUUAGUAAAAGCUUUGUUCAAUUAGUCUGUUAAAAGGAUUUAUCUAGCUUUUGUGGAAAAAAAUAAAGAAUCAUUUCCACUACUGGUAACUAGCAGUUACUGUAAAUAUCUUUUUGCAGGUUUACCCUGGGGGAUGGACAG